UACGGGGGGGGCAAGCGUUGUUCGGAAUUACUGGGCGUAAAGGGCUCGUAGGCGGCCAACUAAGUCCGACGUGAAAUCCCCGGGCUUAACCUGGGAACUGCGCUUGUAACUGGCAAGCUAGAGUGUGGCAGAGGGGGGUGGAAUUCCACGUGUAGCAGUGAAAUGCGUAGAGAUGUGGAGGAACACCGAUGGCGAAGGCAGCCUCCUGGGCCAGCACUGACGCUCAUGCACGAAAGCGUGGGGAGCAAACAGG
rnacentral:rRNA from 1 species